rnacentral:lncRNA from 10 species
CAAGUUUCCAAAAACUUUAAUUUUGGUAUAUGACUCCUCUGCUUAAAAAUUUUUAUUAUUCCCUAUUUCCAACAGAGUAAAAUCCAUAUUCUUUAUCCUAACAUAUAAAAUUGUACAUAAUCUUAAGUCACAUUACCAGCAGUUUUCAAUGUUUAUUUGAAUGGUUGCAAACUCCACUUUAUUUCUACUUCUCACCAAAUCCACUUCACCACGUUGGUUUUGCAGAAAUGCUGCAUAACAAAUCCUGUUUCCAUACCAUUCCUAUGGUUGCACUGCUCACCUCAUCAGGACCCUGAUCUUCUUCAGCCAAGAGAACGCUGGGUAUUUCUGUAAAUGCUCUGCUUCCUGGAAGACCCUCCUGACCACAUUACUGGAUUAUUGUAACGAUGUUAUCAAUAAUAUUGUUAUUUUAGCCACCGUAUAUUCCUAUCUUGCUAGAUAUUACACCCAAUUGGGACAAGAACUAUAUUUAUUCCACUCAGUGUCUCAGAGGAAUAAAUUAAUCUUUCCCAUUGUUGACUCUGCAAUUCAAAUCAGCAUUUAUUUUCUGAGUUGUAAAUUGUAAGUCUUCAUCUCCCCAUACGAAGGACUAUAAAACAAAAUAUGCUAAACCAGGGAGAAGACCAAGAACAAGAGAUGUUCUGAUACGCAUAUAAGCUAGACCUGAAUCUAAAACCAAGAUGUUGGAGGGGAAAAAUCCCGUUUCUAAUACUCAAUCUAGAGAAAACAGGCAAAUUGUAAAAUAACAGAUUGGAGGCACAAGAAACAGAGUAAGGAGACACAAACAUAGAGCUCAUCUAUGGAUUUUUCCCAUCUCUAUAAAUUGUGCUACCAAGAGAAGUAACUAAACACCUUCUGAUCUACAAAUACUGAACCAUCUUAAAAGUUUUACAUAUAAAACUUGAAUUCCGUUUUUUAAAUCAACACAAUGUAAGCAAAUAUUUUGAAACAUUGAGGAGUGACCUUUUCCACACCUCUCACUUCCAUCCCGCGCCCAUGUGCAAUCACUUCUCACCAUUUGUUUUUUUUUUAUUGUUAUCCCCAAAAUUCUGAGCUUCUUUCCUAUUUCUUCAUACACAAACUUUCAACUUCAUUUAGUAGCAUCCUAAUAAAAUAAAUGGGUUUUUUUUCACUUAUAAGAUGUCUCACCUUCCCUCCACCUUUUCCAAAUACGAUAAUAGCUGGAAAAUUGUAAAAUCUGUUUAAUUUAUAUUUCUUGUUCUAUUAGCCGUAGACAUUUUGUCUUGACUACUUAUCUGCUUUAUAAGCUGAGAUUAUUAGCUUCAGCUUAUUUCUAUGUGUGCUUAAAAAAAGAAAUUAAAACUGGCACAUGGAAACAUGCCUUAAGAUGAAGUAAAAAUAGAAAACAAAGUCAAAGACUUCUUGUGUAUGCUCAUUCAUAAUAGUAGGUUUUUUAUUUCUGAUUUUGCAAAUUGGCUGUUAAAGGAAUGCAAUGAAGAAAAUUUAUUUACCUAAUAUGGUAAUGUCUGCAAAAAAUUAUAAUUUUUAUGUCUAUGAGAGUAUGAGAUAGAAAUAGUAAAACAACUCAUUCCUUCCUAAUUUUUAUUUGUACUUUCAAUGUGAAAAGCUGUGUUAUCUUUCUCUCUGUAUAUUUCAUCAGUAACAGCGAUUUCAUAUACAAAAUACACUCAAUAUUUAUAUGACUCUGUCUUCUUUCAAAUAUAGCUACUCUGGAAUUCAGGAGAAGAAACACAUAUAAAAACACAAAGAAAAACCAUGUUAAGCCUAUGCAAUUGAGGGGAUAGAUGUGUUUUAUGGAGGAAAAUAUGAUGCUGGAUCAAUAAUUGAGGAGAAAUUAUAUUACAAAUAUUACAAAAGAAAGAAAACAGUGAGAGAAUUAUCUACAUUUUCACCUCAUCAGUCACUGCCUACAACUUGUGGCUAAAUUUGAGUGAAAAGUUACUAUCUAAUCAAUUCCAAAGCUUCUAAAAGUAGGAGACCUACUGUUAUGUAAAUCAUCACCUGAUUUCACAGUUAAAUGUGUAAAAGUGAACAGUCUUUCACCAAUUUUCUAGGCGACUGUGCUAAAGCUAUCUUUAGAGAAAUGAAAUGUGACAGCAGUAUAAUUUCAUUAGAUAUGUGGCCUAUUUUAAAGCCUGAAUGGGGGUAGGGGAGGGAAAUAAAAGGGCUAUUGUAAAAAUUUAUGCAGAUUAUAAUAAAGGCAAACAGAGUAGUAGAGAAGUAGAAUGUAACUGUCAUAGCUGGCUUCCCAGGAGGUGAACUCUGAGAUGUAGAAUAGUGCUCAAGAAGUGUAUUACAACUUCAUACAUAUUCCUAGAAUCAACUUUUGGGAUGAGAAGGGAAGGAGAGGAAGCUGUAUUUGCAGAGGAAAAAGUUUUACUGAUGUACACUUGUAAUAAGGAACUCUACAGCUGGAAUCACCCUUCAGAGACUUCCUGAGUUGAGACAAAGACAUCAAACUUUUUUCUCCUCAGGCUUCUCAGGGAUGACUGAGACAGCAAACUUGUAUAAUCCUCUCCCCAGCCCCCACUUCCACAUCAACCAUGGGUUGGAUUCAGGCUGCCCUGGGGAAGGGAGUUGUUGAGGUAAGUUAACAGGAGAAGGUCAAUAAUUGAUCAUUAUCAGCAGGCAUCAUUCCCAGCAGCUGGGAGAGUAAGUCCUUCGGUUCUGAAAGGGGAACUGGACAGUGCAUCACAGCAUCUAAUGCCAUUUACUCUUUGGUCACUCAGAUCCACUUCAUGUAAGUUCAGGAAACAGCUCCUCCAGGAUUCUGAUAGUCCUCUUUUCUUGGGAAGAAACAGAACGGGGAGGUUUGUGGGAUGAACUCUAGCGCGCACAGAGUCUCACGACUAUUACUCAUCUUUUCCUUUCCCUGCUAUCCAUUCUAGAUCCUGCUUGCCUUCAGCUGGUGCCACUGCUGGACUAGGUGGCUCACCUGAUGGGCAUGAGCCAAAUCCUCAUCCUUGCAGGCUCUCAGCCUCUGGCCACCAGUUCUUUCUCAGGCAAUGACUAUUAUACCCAUUUACACUGAAAACUGGGCAAGAGAGUACCAAGAGACAACCAAGUGGAUAGCUAGAUGUCAAAGAGAUGCCUCCAUUCCCCCACUGUGUAAUGACACCACGACUUCCUCCUGAUAAUCUGGGUGUAUUAUUUCUGCCAGGAUGAUGAAUGCUCUUUAAAGCUGGCAACUUUUCAUGUAACUCUUUUAGAAGCUUUUCCCUCUCUGGGAACCAGGAUCUCUAAAUCUGCAGAAGCCAUGAUUGUGGCGCUAGAAAGUACAGAUGAUAGUUAGCAGGAGAAUGCUUACUUCUGCCCCUUAGCUCCCAGACCCAUGUAUUCUAACAACUGAAGACACAGCACCACACACUAGUCCUUGAUUUAACUUGCAUAUUGCAUCCUGGAGGAUGGCAGCUCAUCUUGCAGUGCAUCAUAUCGGGCUUGUGCUUCAGUUGAGCCUCCCAUGAACUAUGCCAUUGCUCUAUAAUCCCUGCAGGUCCCGGGUGGUAUAGUAUGUGACAGAACCUGUAGACCUUUUGGUUCAUAUUUUCAUUGGUAAACCUCCUUUCCUGUUAAGUAGGCUCUCUGAUGUGAUGUUGCAUGGGUUACCAUAUCAAUGGAUCAGACGCAUGUCAGCCCUUGAAUAUGGGUUUUGGCUAAAGCCCCAAAAGUAGGAAAGGCAAACCUGGAGCUGAAAAAUGUAACAUAUUUCCAUCAAAAUUAAUUGUUUCUCCUCAGGGUAGAAAAAGAGCAAUGAUGCCCACUUGCCACCAGGUGGCUGCUUCAUCUUCUGAAGACCAAGGUCCUCCCCAUCAGUUACCAUUGUAGGCAGUUGGGACUUUUGGCAGCGGCAAUGGCUAGAUCAGAUGUGCAGCAGUUGUCCCUUAAGUGCAAGUUUGCUUUCCAGGGUCUUCGUGGCCUGAUGGGCACACCAUGCGUUAAUUAACUUCUGUUUUUCUUGCAUUAAUAUGACAUUUGUUUUCACAAGAGUGUCUCAACUAAGAACCAUGAAAUGAGAACAGAGACAAAGGCAGCCUAAAAACAGAUGCCCAAAACCACACAAACCAGUUGUCAAUUCAGGAAGAAUGGGUGGAUCGCUGAUAAUGAACAGGAGGGAAUUGAGUGAACAAUCCGAAAACUGAAA